rnacentral:rRNA from 1 species
UGUUYUYUAAAUAGGGACUUGUAUGAAUGGCCACACGAGGGUUUUACUGUCUCUUACUUCCAAUCAGUGAAAUUGACCUUCCCGUGAAGAGGCGGGAAUAUAUUAAUAAGACGAGAAGACCCUAUGGAGCUUUAACUACUUAGCCCAAAAGAAACAAAUUUCAUUACUAAGGAAACAACAACACUCUUUAUGGGCUAACAGCUUUGGUUGGGGUGACCUCGGAGAACAAGAAAUCCUCCGAGCGAUUUUAAAGACUAGACCUACAAGUCGAAUCACACAAUCGUUUAUUGAUCCAAAAAAAAAAUUGAUCAACGGAACAAGUUACCCUAGGGAUAACAGCGCAAUCCUAUUCAAGAGUCCAUAUCGACAAUAGGGUUUACGACCUCGAUGUUGGAUCAGGACAUCCCGAUGGUGCAACCGCUAUCAAAGGUUCGUUUGUUCAACGAUUAAAGU